UUAAAAUUCUCCGCAUUUAUUUUAACCGCAUAACAUUUGCAGACAAAUCACUUCUCUCCCAGCGCAAAGUUUGAAGCAGGCUCAGGAUAUAAAGCCCGGCCGCAAUCUGCGGGGUGGAAUUGCUCUCUGUUUGCUGGCACCUGCUCACAGCCACAUUUUCUGCAUGGGGAAAAGGCCAAUCCAUGCUGUGCUAGUGCCCCAGGGUGGGAACCUCGAGGGGAGGAGGUUAAGCUAAGGUGUUGCCCCCACAGCCCCUUGAGACCCCAAUCCUGCUCCCACCCCACCUGGAGCAUCCCUCACCCAAAGCCGGCUCAGGAUGCUGUGCCUCCCGUCUCCAUGGCAACCCCCAUCCUUGCCGGGUUGCCAUGGCUCCCCGGCCCCCAGCCGCAGCGCAUCCUCAGCACAGGGAGGACCCGACGUUUGGGGUCCCCAAGGGGAUACCACCACCGAGGGAUGAGCGGCGUGGCUGGGAGCUGAGGGGUGAGCUGGGGACAGGCUGAGGGCAUGCUGGUGUAUUGCUGACACCUCGGGAGGAAGGAGCUUUGUGACCACGUGGAUAAAUCCCUUCCUGGCGAGUCCGAGCCCUGGAAAAUCUUGUGAAUCUAACGCUGGCCCUUCUGGCAGUUA